UACGUAGGUGGCAAGCGUUGUCCGGAUUUACUGGGCGUAAAGGGCGUGCAGGCGGUCUGUUAAGUUCAGGGUGAAAGCUCCCGGCUCAACUGGGAGAGGUCCUUGGAUACUGGCAGACUUGAGGGAGGUAGAGGAGAGUGGAAUUCCCGGUGUAGUGGUGAUAUGCGUAGAUAUCGGGAAGAACAUCAGUGGCGAAGGCGGCCUGCUGGGCUGUUGCUGACGCUGAGGCGCGACAGCGUGGGGAGCAAACAGG
rnacentral:rRNA from 1 species